UCCAGGAGGUCCCGAUGUUUACUCAGAUGCAGUCGCCGAGGCUCGUUAAUAGCUCGUUUGAUUAGGUACAAGCUUGCAACAGAAUCUGAUGCAAUAGUGAGCUUCUUAGUUGCAAAUUCUUUACCUUCGCCACCAAAGUCUGCGAGGGCAGCACGAAUUGCUGCCAGUUCAGCUCUCGUAAUAGUGUUUGUGCACCCAGCGCCAUUUGGAUUCACGUAGACAACGCGAGAAUCGCUGAACCAGGCGCAGGCACCGGCAACCUGGACUUCUUUGCCAUUUUCAGUUUUGAUUUUGCUUACCGAACCAUCUGUCCAGACAGUGCCAUUCACGUCGUGGGCCAGAGCAUGGUGGGUCUGGAAUCACGCGUUAGGAAAGCGUCGUGCUUCGUCAGCCAUGGCGUGUAUCGUCUUUGGGUUAGCGUGUUGAUAUUUGGCUUGCUUUAGAAGUGAGUUUGGGAGGGCCGGGCAGGUUGGGGCCGUGGCCGUGUGUGUCCACGUGCGCGGGUCGCUGAUGUGCGUGGGUGCGUUCGCCCCCCGUUUCAGUGUGUCCACGAGCCGUUUCAGGCGGGGGGCAAAGCACUGGAGUCCGGCGGGGUUCCCAACAAUGACCAGUCGGAGCCCCUUCUGGCGUUCAGCCUGGGUGUUGGUGCCAAGUCCUGUGUCGAGGCCCGCGGUGCCCGCGGACCAGUUGGCCAGCUCGUGGCAAAGUGGGUGUUGAAGCCACUGCGUGUGGGGGAAAGUGGCCGCUUUGGGGAGCGCCAAUACAGUAAGGGUUGGUUCCUGUGAGUCACGCAUAGCCUCGGCGCAUGCGAGGGCCCACAUGAGCGCCUUCCGUGCAUCGUGGGGGGUAGAGGGGGGGUGGGCAUAUUGCAAGCCGGUCCAUGCGGUCUGGUAGGCAUCGUGCAGUGCGCCAAAGGUCCCAUCAGCAGGGUCUCGUGUCCAGUAUUAAUAAUAAUAAUAUCUACGCAGGGCACAGGUGCCCGCGUGUCUUAAGGAGGAGUGAGACAAGCUCACCCCACCAUCGGAAAACUUGAUUUCCCUACCCCGGCUCCCCUGCGCGGGGGCCGCCAUUGGCGGUCCCCUGGGUGCGGCCUCCCGGGCGGCAUCGGGUGUUGGCAAUGCCCAUCUCUCGCUCUAGCCGGUAGUACAGGUUUGCGGUGCCCCGGAGUGUGGUGACGCUAUGCAUGUGGAGACGUGUGCAGCAGGCCUUGGCUGCCUGCGGUUUGGCUCCUAGGUCUUUGAGGAGAGUUUCAAGGGUACGGGGGAUAGUGCCACCGUGGCCCAGUGUAAUAACGUGUUUAGUAUCGUAGUGGACAGUCCACCCUGCAGCUCGCAUGGCAGUGGCAAGGGUGGCGUGCUGUGCUUGUUUUUGAAUGAGCUUCUCGCUGUGGUGCAGGUCAGAGGUGUAUCCAACUUCAAGGAUGUACACUGGGUAGGCCCCUUUGUUGGCUGGUGGGGAUGUCAUGAAGCGUUCUGCUUCGGACCGGGGAAGGUUCGGGAUAAACAGAAUGUCAGGCCGCAUCCUGUUGAGGUCUGCAGCGGGCACUUGCGGGCAGAGCCAGGACGGCGGCCGCAUGCCCGCACAGUACUCAGGCAGUUCAGCUCGGGAGGUGGCAUCCAUUAUCAUGUAGCCACCACCGUUGUGACCAUGGUGUAGGCAUUCGGCAAUCGUCCGCACUGCAGUGUUGUGUUUGGCUAUCCUAGCGCCAACGAGUUGGGGGUGCGCGCAGUGGCCGGCAAGGUGACCUGCGGUGCCACGCUCUGGGUCAGAUCCGCGGCUGCGCUGGGUGUGGGCACAGAGACCACAUUUGUCGCUGUCUCGUAGUUUAAACAAAGCCAGCCGGGCUGGGCAGAUGAGGCCUCCCUGACGAGCAUUCUGUAUGAACCGGCGUAGGCCGUGGCUGGCGUCCGAGUUCGUCAUGUACGCGUUACUGGCGCGUGGGUCAAGGCUGGGUGCUGCCUCGGCCCAUUUCUCAGUGUACAGGGUUUUGUUGGCGUAUCCACCACGGCAGCUGGGGGCCAUUGCCCUGGUGAGGCCCCGGUUUAGGUCCGACACGUAGUGCGUGGCUGUGCUAUCGUCGUCCCUGGUGACCGUGAAGGUCGGCCACCAGUGCCGGGCGUGCGGGUCGUUGUCGGCCGGUUCGGAUACAUCGGCGGGUUUUUCCUGGGUGGCGACGGCAGCCGCCCCUUUAUCGGCUUCCUCGUUGCCGUGUAGCCCGGUGUGCGAGAUCACUUUAAUCAGAGCGGUGGGUGCGCCCCGGGCGUGGCGUGCAUGGAGCAAUGCCACGACUGAAUCCAGGAGGUCCCGAUGUUUACUCAGAUGCAGUCGCCGAGGCUCGUUAAUUGCUCGUUUGAUUAGGUACAAGCUUGCAACAGAGUCUGAUGCAAUAGUGAGCUUCUUAUUUGCAAAUUCUUUACCCUCGCCACCAAAUUCUGCGAGCGCAGCACGAAUUGCUGCCAAUUCAGCUCUCGUAAUAGUGUUUGUGCACCCAGCGCCAUUUGGAUUCACGUAGACAACGCGAGAAUCGCUGAACCAGGCGCAGGCGCCGGCAACCUGGACUUCUUUGCCAUUGUCAGUUUUGAUUUUGCUUACCGAACCAUCUGUCCAGACAGUGCCAUUCACGUCGUGGGCCAGAGCAUGGUGGGUCUGGAAUCGCGCGUUAGGAAAGCGUCGUGCUUCGUCGGCCAUGGCGUGUAUCGUCUUUGGGUUAGCGUGCUGGUAUUUGGCUUGCUUUAGAAGUGAGUUUGGGAGGGCCGGGCAGGUUGGGGCCGUGGCCGUGUGUGUCCACGUGCGCGGGUCGCUGAUGUGCGUGGGUGCGUUCGCCCCCCUUUUCAGUGUGUCCACGAGCCGUUUCAGGCGGGGGGCAAAGCACUGGAGUCCGGCGGGGUUCCCAACAAUGACCAGUCGGAGCCCCUUCUGGCGUUCAGCCUGGGUGUUGGUGCCAAGUCCUGUGUCAAGGCCCGCGGUGCCCGCGGACCAGUUGGCCAGCUCGUGGCAAAGUGGGUGUUGAAGCCACUGCGUGUGGGGGAAAGUGGCCGCUUUGGGGAGCGCCAAUACAGUAAGGGUUGGUUCCUGUGAGUCACGCAUAGCCUCGGCGCAUGCGAGGGCCCACAUGAGCGCCUUCCGUGCAUCGUGGGGGGUAGAGGGGGGGUGGGCAUAUUGCAAGCCGGUCCAUGCGGUCUGGUAGGCAUCGUGCAGUGCGCCAAAGGCCCCAUCAGCAGGGUCUCGUGUCCAGUAUUCGUGGGCUGCAGUGGAGGAGUUUAGUGGGGACGCAAACAUUUCCCGAAUGUGUACUGCUUGUGUGACCCGCAGGCAUUGGACGAUGGCUGCUACUGUGCCUGCCGGCAGCGACACCUGGUGCAUUGGCAUGGCCUUGCGGUCCUGCUGCGCCGGGUCAUAGCGGUAGCGCAUGAUGAGGGCAGCGACCGCUUCCUCAAAGGCGUUGGGCCGCUGGUUGCCGGUGUGCCUGAAGCGUUCCCACAGGGUAAGGAGGCGGGGGUAGGUGAUGGUGCCCAGCCAGCGGCCACUGGGUUCAUGGACGUGCGCCUCAGCUGGGUCACGGCGGGUGCCACCAGUGGUGGUAAUUGUGACCCGGACCGGCGCUGAAGACUGACGUACCGGCCUGCUGUAGAUUAACUUAAGGUCUGACCGGAGCAUGCACAGCAAAUCAAGACCCAGCAUGGAGCGCGUUCCUUGUUGCAUGGGGCUGCAUGGGGCUCAUAUAUUUCGGGUUCAGUUCUUCACUCUUCAAGCAACCUGUCUUUGUCACAUGUAGCUACAUACCUAUCGUUCAGCACCAUGUAGAGACUUCGUGGUCCUCUUCCAGUCGGCCAUGGACUUGCUUUCAAAGUUGGCGCUCAAGUCUACAGGGCGAGUCUUCAAGUCCUGCUAAGCCCUGGCAUCAAUCUUUGGAAGGUAUUUUAUGAGCUGCUGGUGCUGGGGCUGGGCUGCGCUGUCGCAGGGGGUGUCGGACCCUCGUUGACCGGGUCUACAACUAAGCCAGGUCUUGACGCUGCUGUUACAGGAUGUAAAUCAAGCAUCAGAGACCAAGUCUGGAAUCAACAGUGCCAGGUGAGGCAGGUCAGGACACAUAGCGACAGCCAUUUCAGGGGGUCGACAAGCGACAACAAAUUCAGGGGGUCAAGCGAGCUAGCAUCCAUGCGCAGUAUGGACGAAGUUGUAAGAGCAUAAGCAGAAAUUCAGAGUGUGAAGCUCCCCCCUCCCCCUCCCCUUGUCUCCUCAGGUCCGGCACUGGAAUUCGACUCGGGGCGCGGCGCGCGUAAAUGCGUGGCCCUUCUAACCCUCACCAGGCAAGUUUGAUCGGAAGUUGCUACACAACUCAUAAUAGGAUGAAUGAUAGGAUUUGAAUGACGUACAUGGGAAGUGAGUUCUAGGGGACUGAAUGCGGUCUAGGCCCUGCCCUGCAUGACACCGUGCCACCAUGCACUGACCAACUUACCCCAAACACCAUGCAGGCCGAGCUCAAGUAUGGAGGCGGCUAGCGGCAAGCGGCAGACUUCAGGUGGCGGCAGCGGAAUUGGCAGGCGGCGCUGUGCGCGCAUGGUGUUAUGGUGUGAUCGGCGGGUGGCUGGGUGUAGUGCUGGCAGGGGAUCCGUAUCGGUUGCCUUCACACUUGCCUCGAGACCCUGAGUAUGCCUGGUCUGUACGUUUAGUGUUGUGUAGCAAUGGUAGGCCUUGCAGAAUGUGUGCGUGCAGCACGUGGUGGGUUGCGGGUCGUGUGGACGGAGCGGGCGGGAGAGCCAUGCGGACUUGCACCAUUUUGGCACACCACGACACCAGUACGAGGGGCACGUGUCGGAGCGCAGAUGCAUGAACUGUAACACAUCAAGAGAGCUUCAGGUGCCUCAUGUGCCCCAUUUUAUGUGCCGUGCGGGACGCGCACAGUAUCGGGUGGGACGCACACAGCGCCGGGUGGCAGCUUGCUUUAGGUAAAGCACAGGCGUGCCGCAUGCGUG
rnacentral:lncRNA from 1 species